rnacentral:lncRNA from 1 species
GUUAUACACUAACGCGGCGCAGAAUCUGGAAAAUACGAAACUAAAACUUAAGUCAUCAGUGGUACGUGAAAAACUUGUGAAUAAAAUGAAGCUGUGGUUUCCACUCUUUCAGAUAGUAUUGAAGGAAUAAGUUGGUCUCUGGGGAAUGAAGAAAGACUCUGGCUGUGGCUGCUUUUAUGGGUUGCUAGCCUUCCUGUGAUUGGGUCCUGCGCUGUGGAAAGCUGUGGAUUCAGUGAAGGUGUUUUAGGAAUAUACACUGAGAAGAAGAAGAAGAAGAAGAAGAAGAAGAAGAAGAAGAACAAGAACAAGAACAAGAACAAGAACAAGAACAAGAACAAGAACAAGUAGUAAGCUUUUUGAAAAAUUAACCAGUGCUGCCACCACAGAUUACCAGUACAGUGAUGUUUUAAUGAUACUCCUUUACCAUCCUCCACAAGAUCAGUGUUAAUUAAAAUUAAACAUCACUAAUGUCAAUAGGUUGUAAAAGAGCUUUGUGUUGUUUUCAUUUCAUACACAGAAUUUUCUAAAGCAC